UGUGAAAUAUAAAUAUAUAUUCACAGUGUGUGAAAUAUAAAUAUAUAUGUGUGUGUUUUUUAAAGGAGGAUCUGGAGAACGGGGAGGAGGUGGCGACGUGUCCGAGCUGCUCGCUCAUCGUUAAAGUCAUCUACGACAAGGACUUGUUCCUGUCUGGAGAAGUCGUCGAUGCUCCGUCGUCGACCUCAGAGUCCAAACUGGAGCUGAUUCAGACCUGACGCCCCUCACGUCUUCUUCUUCUUCUUCUUCUGUGGUCACAGAAGGCGACCAUCAUCAUCAUCAUCUCUAAUUAUUUAUGUACUGCUGGGAAACAUCACACAUGACACGUAUAAAUAUGAAGUCACCACAUGUCUUAUUUAAAGUCACAUUUUAAUUUCUCUCACAUUAAUGUAAAUAUGAAAUCAAAUAUUUUAGUGUUUCACUUGAAUGAGUUUAACUAUGAAUGAUGUAUUUAUUCUUUUACAUGAUGAAUUAUAAUAAAACUGCAGACAGUCAUUAUGAUGUAAUACUCUGAUACACUGUAUGAGA